rnacentral:lncRNA from 1 species
UGGAGUUCCGGCUGUAAUCCGUUCAUUUGUAAUGUGUACCAAGUGUGUCAGGUUCUCUAUCUGGUUCGUGACAGUAAGUUUGUUAGAUCAUCAAAACAUAAGGCAAAAACAUUAAAAACCCAUCAUGUACUUUAUUCAAUUCAAUUUAUAUGGCAUAAUUAGAGUGAGCAUGAAAUUUAAAAUAAAGAAACUUUUAAAAUUUGAUUGUAAAAUAAAAAUUUAUAAUAGUUAAAUCAUCAUAAUUAUAUUGAUUUGAUCCAUUUUUUUUAUCUUUGCCCAAAUUUAACAUAAUUUACCCAUUUUACCCUCAAACUACCAGGCUGCCGUCAGUUAUAGCCCCGAUAUUUUCCCCUGGUCUCCCUGCUAAAAUCCUUUGGUCUUCCAUUUCGUUAUAGCUCCAUGUCCAUGGCCACCCAAUUAUGUCCAAAUCAUGUAAUCUCAUAUGCAAAUUCUUUCAUCUGUCGUCGAAAUCGAACCACCAUUCUUCCAUUAUUCAGGUCGCUUCCGAGUAUUGAGUUCGGUAAACGGCGGGCCGCAAGAUUGUUAGUUCAAUGCUCUGAGAAACAAACAGAGAAUCUCCGGACGUGCAAGAAUUGCAAGACCCAGUUCGACCCUUUGCUCAAUCACCCUCGUGCUUGCUGUUACCACACUGCACAUUUUGGAGGUACCCUUCUCUCACUUACAUCUGUACUACCAUAGUUACUAAUCUCAUAAAAUAGGUAGAUAAAACCUCUAAUUUAGGUAAUUCCUAUUGUUAACUUAUCUCUUUUGUUUCUUAAGUAUCAGAUGUUCCGGUCUUUGGACAUUAUGGAAUAUGAAAAAAAAAAAAAAAAAAAAAUGUAUAACUGUUUCUAUGC